CUGGGNUCCAGGAUGNAACGCUAGCGGNAAGGCNUUAAUACAUGCAAGUCGAGCGGUAUAGUGACUUCGGUUGCUAGAGAGCNGGCGCACGGGUGAGUAACGCGUACAUGACCUANCCUCUAAGAUCNGGGAUAGCCCUGGGAAACUGGGAUUAAUACCGGAUGUGAUAAUAAGUAUAAGGAUUUAUUAUUAAAGUUGCGGCGCUUAGAGAUGGGUGUGCGUCUGAUUAGCUAGUUGGUAGGGUAAAGGCCUACCAAGGCGACGAUCAGUAGGGGGCGUGAGAGCGUGAUCCCCCACACGGGUACUGAGACACGGACCCGACUCCUACGGGAGGCAGCAGUAGGGAAUAUUGGUCAAUGGACGAAAGUCUGAACCAGCCAUUCCGCGUGCAGGAAGAAGGUCCUAUGGACUGUAAACUGCUUUUAGCAGAGAAGAAACGCCUUCAUUUAUGAGGGUCUGACGGUAUCUGCAGAAUAAGCACCGGCUAACUCCGUGCCAGCAGCCGCGGUAAUACGGGGGGUGCAAGCGUUAUCCGGAAUCACUGGGUUUAAAGGGUGCGUAGGCGGGACAUUAAGUCAGUGGUGAAAGUCUGUUGCUUAACGAUAGAAUUGCCGUUGAUACUGAUGUUCUUGAAUUGGGUUGAGGUUAGCGGAAUGUGACAUGUAGCGGUGAAAUGCAUAGAUAUGUCAUGGAACACCAAUUGCGAAGGCAGCUAGCUGGGCCUUGAUUGACGCUGAGGCACGAAAGCGUGGGGAGCAAACAGGAUUAGAUACCCUGGUAGUCCACGCCCUAAACGAUGCUAACUCGAUGUUUGGUUUACGGAUUGAGCAUCUAAGGGAAACCGAUAAGUUAGCCACCUGGGGAGUACGACCGCAAGGUUGAAACUCAAAGGAAUUGACGGGGGUNCCGCACAAGCGGUGGNAGCAUGUGGNUUUAANUUCGAUGAUACGCGANGGAANCCUUNAAAUCACUAGUGAANUUCGCNGGCCCGNCCUUGC
rnacentral:rRNA from 1 species